rnacentral:misc_RNA from 1 species
UGACCCAUACUCCAGUUCUCCCCAUUCUCUGUAACUGCAGAGUCUAGCUUUUUCUCCUUCUUCCUAACUUCAUCUCCAAGCUGGCACUUAUCAAGAGCCUCCCAAAUUUGUUCAUCCGUGUACUCGUCAAGGGGGUCCAGGUUACUCCGUACAGUUCCUUCAAACAUGGUAGGAUCUUGAGGAAUGAUGCUUAGUCUUGACCGCAAGUCGUGCACACCAAUUAAUGAGAUAUUUAUGCCAUCAAUCAAAAUCUGACCAGCUGCGGGCUCAACAAUUCUGAAAAGUGUUUGUAUGAGAGUAGAUUUACCACUGCCUGUUCUACCAACGAUACCGGUUUUCUUCCCUCCAGGGAAAGUGCAUGUGAGACCUCGCAACACAAGUGGCAUGUGAGGGGCAUACCGGACCUGCAGAUUACCAAUAUCAACUUCUCCAUGUGAUGGCCAAAAAUAGUCAGGCCGAUUUUCAUCUAUUACAAGAGGAGGUUCACUAGGAAUAGACGUAUAUUGGAGUAUUCUCUCUACUGAUAUGAUCUUAUUCUCCAUAUUGCAAAUAUUCCAUAUCACCCAUGCUUGUAACAUGUUUAGGUUGAGUCCAUAUGUCACAGCUAAACCGGCAAUGGCUGGAUCGAUUCCCUUUGGGAAAGAGAUUAAGAAAAACAAAGAGAAGGCGAAUGUAACAGAAGAGAACAUAUCCAAGUGGAAGCAAAGCCAUUCCAUUGCAGCAGCACUAUGAAACAAGGGCCGAGAAUAUGAAUCCAUCAGUUUCAUGUUUGUU